UUCCAAAGCAGGGAGGUAGGAAGCGGUUAAGUAAGCUCGGAUCUUGCUAUGGAGCCAAGGUCUCCAUUGAUGAAGCUGCUUAUGAUCUGCGAUCGAAAAAAGCAAAUUUUCGAGAAAUUGGAGCACCAAGCUCUACAACCCUCACCUUCAUUCCAUUCACAAAUUUGAACCUCAUAUUUCACUGGAGUAAGAUGAUUAAUCAUAGUUACAAAAGAAGAGAUGGUUCCAACUCCAUUUACUGAUAUUGGCAAGAAAGCCAGAGUUGAACAUAAAGAAUCUUUGCUUUGAGUAUGAUACAGAUCCAUAUUAUCAAGUGUUAGAUGCUCUGUGUUGAUAAAUAUGGAUCUCAACAAGGGAUCGAGGUUCUCUCCUGUGAGUUAUACACUGUUUGAUCCUGGUGGUCAUAGAUAAGAAUACGAGCAAGCAACCUCUUACUUAUAGUCGUUUCUGAAGAUUACUGGUUAGCUCUCGUCAAUUUGGGUGUACGACUUCAGAGAUAUACAUAGUAUAUUUUUUUAGUGGGUUUAUUUAGGUUGUAACAAGAUUUUAUUCCUGUACUUGCACAAUUUUUGUAUUUUUAGAGGUAAAAUUUAGAUUUAUGAAAGUUACAAUCAUGAAUGAAUAAUUUGUAAUUGUGUAGAAGAUUUUGGAUGUAAUAUUUGUUUAUUUUUCAGUUGGUAAUAUAAGCAAUUAUCAAUAUGCAGA